GGGUUGCGAGGUUAAGCGACUAAGCGUACACGGUGGAUGCCCUGGCAGUCAGAGGCGAUGAAGGACGCGCUAAUCUGCGAUAAGCGCCGGUAAGGUGAUAUGAACCGUUAUAACCGGCGAUACCCGAAUGGGGAAACCCAGUGUGAUUCGUCACACUAUCAUUAACUGAAUCCAUAGGUUAAUGAGGCGAACCGGGGGAACUGAAACAUCUAAGUACCCCGAGGAAAAGAAAUCAACCGAGAUUCCCCCAGUAGCGGCGAGCGAACGGGGAGGAGCCCAGAGCCUGAAUCAGCAUGUGUGUUAGUGGAAGCGUCUGGAAAGGCGCGCGAUACAGGGUGACAGCCCCGUACACAAAAGCGCAUGUGCUGUGAGCUCGAUGAGUAGGGCGGGACACGUGGUAUCCUGUCUGAAUAUGGGGGGACCAUCCUCCAAGGCUAAAUACUCCUGACUGACCGAUAGUGAACCAGUACCGUGAGGGAAAGGCGAAAAGAACCCCGGCGAGGGGAGUGAAAAAGAACCUGAAACCGUGUACGUACAAGCAGUGGGAGCCCCACCACCAAAGCAUUCUCUGGUGUUGAAGGCCCUGCAAAGCAGCAUCGCGGUGGCGGAGCGUCGUUUGCGACGCCCAACACACAAAACAAGCGGUGAAUGCUUUGGGGUGGGGUGACUGCGUACCUUUUGUAUAAUGGGUCAGCGACUUAUAUUCUGUAGCAAGGUUAACCGAAUAGGGGAGCCGGAGGGAAACCGAGUCUUAAUUGGGCGUUAAGUUGCAGGGUAUAGACCCGAAACCCGGUGAUCUAGCCAUGGGCAGGUUGAAGGUUGGGUAACACUAACUGGAGGACCGAACCGACUAAUGUUGAAAAAUUAGCGGAUGACCUGUGGCUGGGGGUGAAAGGCCAAUCAAACCGGGAGAUAGCUGGUUCUCCCCGAAAGCUAUUUAGGUAGCGCCUCGUGAAUUCAUCUCCGGGGGUAGAGCACUGUUUCGGCUAGGGGGCCAUCCCGGCUUACCAACCCGAUGCAAACUGCGAAUACCGGAGAAUGUUAUCACGGGAGACACACGGCGGGUGCUAACGUCCGUCGUGAAGAGGGAAACAACCCAGACCGCCAGCUAAGGUCCCAAAGUCAUGGUUAAGUGGGAAACGAUGUGGGAAGGCCCAGACAGCCAGGAUGUUGGCUUAGAAGCAGCCAUCAUUUAAAGAAAGCGUAAUAGCUCACUG
rnacentral:rRNA from 1 species